UGCCUCCCAAGUGCUGGGAUUAAAGGCGUGUGCCACCACACCCAGCAAUGUUAACUCUUUUAAGUGUAUUCUUCUAUAUAUGUUUGUUUAUAUGUAUUACAUAUAUAAAUAUAUGCACACUUUUAUUCACUAUAAUAUAGUGCUUUUACAAACUAGCAUAUGAAAAUGUUAUUCUACAUCAAUAGGUAAAGAUCUAUUUAAUUAAUUUUUAAUUGGCUAGAUUUUUUUUUAAAUUUCAAAAGGAUGUAGCACAUAACUUUAAUAAACCAUUCAAAAGAAAAACCUUACUAUUGGAAUGUUUUUAAAGUCUAACUUACUUUUAACUUUCUCUGAAUCUUUAAGGUUUUUUUUUUUUCAGUCUUAUUUUAAACUUUUAUUUCAAUUGUUUCAAAGUUUUUGUUUUGCUUUGUUUUGUUUCUUUUCUCUAUAAACAUCCCACCAUACACUGGGACUUAUUUUCCAGAAUAGAGGGUUGGAUGCAAAAUUGAAAGUUUGACUUUUUUUAAUUUGUUUUUUGAACAUAGCACAUAAUAGAUAUCAUUAUGACUUUUUAUACAUAAUAUGCUGUUAUGUUUUCUUUCUCUCUCCCUGAUCCCUAGUCUUCAUUUCCCCCUUUGCCUUGCCACAGGUUCAUUCUUCUUUUUCUUCCUCCUGUUUCUCUUAAGAUCUUUUUCACAGUCCCCUUUUUGUUUUCAGGGCCUACAACACACACGCACACAUGCACACAUGUACAUAAAUAGAUAGAUAUUAUCGUGUGUAGACACCUAUAUGAAUUUAAAUCAACUGUCUGUAUUAUUAAGUCUAACAAAUAUUCACCAGUUACAUUAAUUUCCCUUGAAUAUUUAUGAUUCUUUUCCUUAUUGCUGAAUUAAAUUCAGUUGUGUGUAUGUUUAUCAAAAUUUUUUAUCCAUUUGUUUGUGGCUGUCUAAGCUGGUUCAGUUUUCUAGUUGUUAGAAAUGCUGCAGUAAUAACUGUGGGUGUAUAAGUAUCUCUGUGGUAUAUUGAUAUACAACCCUUGAGGUAUAUAAUCGGGAGAGUUAUUACUAGGUCAUCUAAUAGUUCUGUCUUUAAUUAUAUGAAGAGCUGGCACACUGGCUCUCAUCAUGGCUUAAGAGGGUGACAUAGUCAUAGGCAGUAUAUGAGGAUUCCUUUUUUUUUUACAUCCUCACCAGCAUUUAUCAUCAUUUUUUAAGAUUAAUUUCAUUACUAUUUAUUGAAUUGUGUGCUGUGCCAGUAUGUACAUGUGAGUGCAGGGACUGGCAGAUUUGUGGAGCCAGUACAUAUACAGUUGUGAGUCUCCUGGUGUGUUUGUUGGGAACCAAACUUGGGUUCUCUGCCAGAGAAUAUAUGCUCUUUUCUCUAGUCCCAUUAGUUGGUUUUUGUUUUGAAAACUAUUCUAACCAGGGUAAAAUAGAAUCUCAAAGCAAUUUAAAUUGGUAUUUGCCCUGAGGGCUAAGGGUGGUGAGCCCCUUAUCAAGUACUUUUUAGCUAUUUCUGUAUUUUUCUUUUGGAAAUUCUUUUAUUAAUUGUAUUUUUUGGUGUUUAAGUUUUAUUAUCCUAUAUAUUUUAUAUAGUAAUGUUCUGUCUGAUAUAUAAUUAUAAAAAGCUCCCAUUCUGUCAUACGUCAUUCUACAGUUACUUUCCUUUUGAUUUGUAGGAGCUUCUUAAUUUCUUUUUUUUUUUUUACUUUAUUUACAUUUCAAAUGUUAUCCCCUUUCCCUGGUUUCCCUUCCUCUGAGAAACACCCUAUCACAUUCCUCCUCCCCCUAUUUCUAUGAGGGUUUUCCUCCAUCCACCCACCCACUCCCACCUCCCCAACCUUGAUUCCCCUACACUGGGGCAUCUAUUGCACCUUCAUAGGACCAAGGACCUCUCCUCCCAUUGAUGCAUGACAAGGCCAUCCUCUGCUACAUAUGCAGCUGGAGCCAUGUGUACUCCUUUCUUGAUGGCUUAGUCCCUGAGAGUUCUGGGGGGUCUGGUUGACUGGUAUUGAUGUUCUUGCUAUGGGGUUGCAAAGCCCUUCAGAGCUUCUUAACUUCAGAGCCCAUUUGUCAGUCCUUGGGAUUCUGCAUUAGAGAUCCCUUUUCAGAAGUUCUUGCCUCUGCUUGAUACAAAGAGCAUUGUUACCUAAGCUUCGUCCAGAGGUUGCUGACCCUUGAGUUAUUUUUGUGCAGGGUGAGGGAUGUGGAUCACUGCAUUUUUCUGUAUGUGGAUAUUCAGUUUCCCCACUUGUCCAUUUGUUAAAGAGACGGUUUUCCUUUACUAUGUGCUUUGACUCCUUUUUGAAAAUUGGGUCUCUAGUUGUGUGAGUUGUUUUCUGCAUCUUCUUUUUUGUUACACUGUUUUUCAAGUUUAUUUUAAUGGCAGUACCAUGCACUUCUUACUGCUUUGACUCAAUAGUAUAAUUUCAGAUCAGAAAUUAUAAUAAUAUUUUGAAAUAAGUACAAAAAGCCAAAUUAUUCUUUAGGAAUGUUUGUAAGUAGUGAGUUUGAAAGCCAAACAAGGACAUCAUGAUAAAUGGUAGCCAAAUUCCUCAAACAUUUUAACUUAAAACAAUUGAGUAUAUAUUUAUUCACCUUCUUCUGAUGGAAAAGCAAGAGAUUUCUUUGUGUCGAACAUAUUAGCACAGGGGAAAUUUUCCUGAACAGAAAACCAAAGGCUCAUACUCUAAGAUCAACAAUUGACAAAUAGGACCUCAUAAAAUUCAAAAGCUUCUGUAAGGCAGAGAACACUGUCAAUAGGACAAAAUGGCAACGCACAGACUGGGGAAAGAUCUUUACCAACCCUACAUAUGGUAGAGGGAUAAUAUUCAAAAUAUACAAAGAACUCAAGAAGUUAGACUCCAGAAAACCAAAUAACACUAUUAAAAAUGGGGUACAGAGCUAAACAAAGUAUUCUCAACUGAGGAAUCUCUAAUGGCCGAAAAGCACCUAAAGAAAUAUUGAACAUCCUUAGUCAUCAGGGAAAUGCAAAUCAAAACAACCCCGAGAUUCCACCACACAUCAGUCAGAAUGGCUCAGAUCAAAGAUUCAGGUGGCAGCAGAUGCUGGUGAGGACUUGGAGAAAGAGAAACAUUCCUCCAUUGCUGAUGGGAUUACAAGCUGGUACAACCACUCUGGAAAUCAGUCUGGCGGUUCCUCAGAAAAUUGGACUUAGUAUUACCUGAUGACCCAGCUAUACCACUCCUGAGCAUAUACUCAGAAGAUGCUCCAACUUGUAAUAAGGACACAUGCUCCACUAUGUUCAUAGAAGCCUUAUUUAUAAUAACCAGAAGCUUGAGAGAACCCAGAUGUCCCUCAGCAGAGGAAUGGAUACAGAAAAUGUGGUACAUUUACACAAUGGAGUACUACUCAGCUAUUAAAAACAAUGACUUCAUGAAAUUCUUAGGCAAAGGGAUGGAACUAGAAAAUAAUCAUCCUGAAUGAUGUAACCCAGUCAGAAAAGAACACACAUGGUAUGUACUCACUGAUAAAUGGAUAUUAGCAAACAAAAACAAAAACAAAAACAAAAACAAAACAAAAAACCCACAAUGCUCGAAAUACCCACCUUACAACUCAAAGACCAUAUGAAAGCCAAGAAGAAAUAAACUCACACCAAAGUGUGUGGAUGCUUCAGUCCUACUCAGAAGGGGGAAGAAAAUAAUCAUGGGAGGUAGAGGGAGGGAGGAAUGAGAGGAGGGGAGGAAAAAGGGAGCUAGAAUCAGGUGUGGGAGGACACAGGGCACGGGGAGAGAAGUCAGAAGGUCAGAAAAUUGAACAGUGGUGUAUAGAAUUGGGGGUUGGGGAACUCGGGGAGCAGGUAGCCAUUAGAAAGUCCCAGAUGCCAGGGAUGCAAGAGGAUUCCAAGACCCAACUGGGGUGACAUUAGCAGAAAUACCCAACAACAGGGAGAGUGAACCUGUAGAUACCAUAUGCACUGGAUAGGCUUGGCUCUUGGUUGAAGGAUGGGGCCACCCACCCACCCAUCUCAAAAUAUUCCAGAAUUGCUCCUGUCAAAAGGAAAUGCAGUGACAAAGAGUGGAGCAGAGACUGAAGGAAAGGUCAUCCAGAGACUGCCCCACCUAGGGAUCCAUCCUAUCUGCAAACAGCAAACCCAGAUACUAUUGCUGAUGUCAACAAGUGCUUGCUGAUAGGAGCCUGAUAGAGCUUACCCUCUGCAUCUUGCUGUCCCCUGACCAAUACAGAUGUGGAUGCACACAGCCAACCUUCAGACUAAGCAUAGGGACCCCAAUGGAGGAGUUAAGGGAAGGACUGAAGGAGCUGAAGGGUUUGCAACUCCACAGGAAGAACAACAAUAUCAACAAACCAGACCCCCACACACACAAAGUUCCCAAGGACUAAACCACCAACCAAAGUCAAAUAUAGAAAUAGGCUCAGUAAUGCCCCACUUGAGGUGACAUUUUACACAUUACAGUCCCAAAGGAUGAACAGUUGUUCUUGUUUUUUGUUUUUGUUUUUGUUUGUUUGUUCUACCUUAUGCUCUUAACUUUUUUCUAAAAGAAAAAAAAAGUUCUUGUUGGUUGCUGGUGUAGUACCCCAGAGGCAGUAACUGUGGGAGAAGAGUGGCCUGCCACAUAGCAGCACUCCUCCUUUUGUAAGAGCCUCCCAUUUUUCUGUUGAGAUCUCUGGGUUGGGAGAAAGUUAUAAGGCAUCAAAGUGCUGUUCAGCUGACCCAAAACUCAGAGGACUGUAGUCCCUCUCCACCAGAAAUCUUAAUAAAGCCAAGAAAAUGUGUACUACAGAAAAGGCUGCAGCCAUGACAGCAGUGUGCCUAGAAUGUCUAUAAUGCUUCCUAUUUUAGACCCAGCUUUUUAGGUUUUUCCACUUUCAUGAAAAACACAUUUUUAAAAUAUGUCCUUUUGACUCCUCUAAAUUUCCCUGGUAUCAGUUGUAAUGUCUCUUCUUUCAACUCUUAAUUUUAUUAAUUUGAAUCAUCUACCCCCAUCUCUUUGGUUAAUUUGGCCAAGGUUUGUCAAUCUGUAUUUUCUUAAAGGACCAACUCUGUUCCAUGGAUUCCUUAUCUUUGUUUUGUUGGUUUGUUUUGUUUUUAUCUUUUACUGAUUUCAUCUCUGAGUUUAUUUCUUCCCAUGUACUCGUUUUGAGUAUUAUUUCUUCCUGGGUUUUUUUUUUUUUUUUUAGAACUUUAGGCUGUAUCAUUAAAUCAUUAUUAUUUGUUAUUUGUUUGUUUGUGGAAUGUUUUUCAUUCUCCAUCAAUUGUAAUUGAUAAUUUUGCUGUCUAUAGUAGUAUGGUCUGGCACCUCUGAUUUCACAGAAUUGCAGAACAUCCAUUAAGACCCUCUGUGUUUUAGUGUCUCUAUUGAAAAGUCAGGGAUUAUUCUAAUGGCCCUGCCUUUAUAUGUGACUUGAUAUUUUUUCCUUUAUAGAUUUUAAUAUUCUUUCUUUGUUCUGUAUAUUAGUUUUUUGAUUACUAUGUGUUGUGGGAAGUUUCUGGUCCUUUUAGAAUUCUGGAAUUUAGAAUUUGGAAUUUAGAAUUCUGUAUACAACCUCUUACACUUUGACAGGCAUCUCUUUCUUUAGAUUGUGAACAUUUAAUUGUCUAGUUAUUUUGGUUGUUAAAAAUAUUUUCUGGGUCAUUGACCUGGGUUUUUCUCCUUUUUCUUUACCAAUUAUUCACAGUUUUGAUCUUUUUUUAGUAUCACAUAUUUUGUGUAUGUUUUGUACCUGUAUUUUUGUAGAUUAAUGCUCUAACUUAUCUGUAAGACUAAAUUCUCUCUUCCAUGUCUUCUAAUCUGUUUGUGACGCUUACCUCUGAGCUUUGUUUUGAUAUCCCAAGAUUUUCAUUUCUAAUUUUAUUUUAGUUUGGGUUUUCUUUAAUGAUUCUAUUUCUUUGUUAAGUUACUUUUAUAUCUUAAAUUGUUUUUUUUUAUUUUUUUCAACUGUGUUGCUGAGACUUCAUUGAGUAAUGUAGCUAUAUCUUCUUUAAGAUCAUUGAAUAUGUUUAUAAUUUCUGUUUUCAAAUCAUUGUCUGUUGCUUCAGCUAAAUUGCUUUUCUCAGGACCUAUUGCAGUAAAGUUGCUGGUUUCUGAAGGAGCCCUAUUGGGUUGUCUGUUCAUGUUUGUAUUUUGUGCUGGGAACUAGGCUCCUGGACUUACAGUGUUUGAUGUGUUUCUUAGCAUACAUAUCUAGUCUCAUCUUCAUUGUUUGGGUGGGUGUUCUGUUUUUUGGAAGUUAUUGCCUCUGGAAUCUACCCAAGUAUUGUAGCUGUGGGGCCUCUAGUUGUUUAGCAUGUGUAACACAAAGAAAUGGAGAUGGGAUAAAAGGAAAGGCUGUAAGAGGACAGAGGAACGAGUUAGGGCGACCCUGAAUUUGCACCAAAAGGCAGAUUCCAGGGAAUGGAGGUGAGAUUGGAGGAGUUAUUCCUGAAGAUAGCCUAUAGCAAAACUAGGAAUAAGUCUAAAGAACUUUGAAAUGGAAGAAUAGUACAAAUUACCUACCUGAGUCUCAACCCAAUGUGGCCACUGAAGAUCCCUAGUGGAAUAUGUUUCUAUGGGUCAGUAAAAGGUAUCAACAACAAAAAGAAAAACAGAAAAAGCUAUAGUACUCACCAUAGUGCUUACUGCUAGCUAAUUACAACAGUACUCCAUCCUUCAGAAUGACUUUGGAACUGAGUAGUUCUAUCCUUUUUAUUGUUAAGUUUUAAACUUUUUGUGUUGUGAGAUUCCACCAUUUAUCCUGAGCUGGCCUUGAAUCCAUAGCAACCCUCUUCCCUCAGCAUUCUAAGACCUGAGAUUAUAGUCAUAGACUACUCUGCCUGGCUAUGUUUGAAAAUUUUAGACUAAAAAUUGAAAAAGAAGCUUUAGAUCACACAGACUAAAUAAAAGUCUCCACCAGUAAUGCUGGUGUAUAACUAGGAAAAUCAUCCCCACAUAUUGACUGGUUUGUGUUCCUCCACUGUUGUUGAGUCCUUUGGUCUCUGUGUCAUGACAUGUCACAGAGGCUCUAUCAGCAAUUUCUAGCAGAUUGAGUGAAUGGGUGGAUGACAUUAUUUAGUUAAGAAGAUAAUAGAUUUUAUAUUUCUAGAAGUUUUUUUAAAGAUAUGUUAUUCUUUGAAGCAAGAAUGAGAAAUAGACCCAAAUAUACAAUUUCAUAUAGUAUAUAUUACUAUGCUUUUUGUUGUUGUUGUUGUUGUUCUAUGCAUUGGGGAUUUAAGCUAAAGCCAUCUAAGGUACAAUUUCUGCAUUUAGUGACAGGACUGAUUUGGAAGAAAGUGGAAAAAUAUAGUCCAAUUGAAUAAAUUGGCAAAAUAAAGUACUUUGCUUAUCUGAGAGUAUUCUGGUAUAAUCCUUAGGUACAAAAAACAGCCAGUCUGGUUAUCUUGGCGAGUACAAAGGGCAAGAAUUGGAAAAAGAGAAGGAAAGUUGAGAACAGAUGUAGAUGAAAAACCAUCAUGUAGAUUUGAGCAAAACAUCAGACCCAGUCAGCCAUCACAACCACACACCUAUAACUGGCCACCUGGCCUGAAACAGGGCACCUAUUUAAAGCUCAGUGACAGCCUGGGCAGCACAGUAAGUUCCAGCUAAAAAAAAAAGUUAGAAUUAGUGACAGAGAGUGCUAUCACAUUCCUGUUUUAUAGCAUUAGACAUGUUCAUGAAUCUUUGGCAAUUUUUGUUUAAUGUGUGUUCAUGUGUGCACAUGGAUAUAUAUGUACGUGUGUACCUGAAAGCCAUAAGUUAAUAUUAGAACUCUUCCUCAGAUAAUGUCACUCAUUGACCCUGGAUCUCUUUGGUUCAGCUAGAUUGGCUGGCCAGUAGCUCCUGGACCCACCUCCCUACACCAACCAGCACUGGAACUAAAGGUGCUGACCACUCCGCUCCACUUAUAUAUGGCUCCAGUGCUGAAGAUCCACAGCCAGGUCCUCAGGGUUAUACUGACUGCCCCAUCUGGGGCAGAUAAAGGAAACUAGAACAUUUGAUAUGUUAUUGAUACUCUAAAAGAAACAGUCUGAACUAGUUUGGACUCACUAAUUAAACAAUUCGUUCUUUUGUCUUUGAUUUUAUAAUGUCCUGUUUCAAAAUAAGUAUUUGGUGUGAGCAUCUAACUUUAAAUAAACUUGUUCUUUUGUUGUGAAAUGAUAUCCAUCCCUCUUUUGACCAUUAUUUUACAUGUUUAGAAACCAAAAUAUAAAUAUAUUUAUCUUUCACAUAAAAUGUUCUUAUUAAUCUCUAAAUAUAAAGAUGCAGAUGUGAUAAGCAUUUUAUAAUAGUAGAAAAACACAGCAAUAUUUUAAUCUCAGAAUUUUAACAUGUCAUUAUUUAUAAUUUGCUUUAACCUUAUAAUAUGUACUUAUAAAAUAAUGGACUUUGAAUUAUAGGACAGUAUCAGAAUUUUAAGAAAACUUAAGGCCUUCAACAACUGUUCAUUACAUGACUUUUCAUGAACAUUGUGAAAGGAUUAGUAGUAACUAUUAUAUUCUAUAAAGCUGAAGUAGAAGAAAGGAUAAUUAAAUAAUAUGGAAAAUAAGACACAAAUUCUACUCUAUGCUUUUUGACUUAAAAUUAUUAAAAAUGCAGAAACUAAAGUGAAUAAAUAUUUAAAAGUCUUCAGUUUAAAAUUGUCAUUUAAGGAAAUAUUUUCUGUUUUUAUACUGGUUUCUAAUCUUUUUUAUUUUUCAAUUGGCUUAUUCUCUCUUGAACCAAGUUAAGGCAAUGUCUUUAGUACGUAUUUUUGAAGACUAAUGACAACACUUAUGACCUCCCAAAGCUGCUCCCUUGGUGAGCACUAAUGGUUUAUCUAGUGUCAAACAAGAUCUUUGCUUUCUUGAUUUUAGAUAAAUUUGCAGUGUGCUGCUUCACUCGUCAUGAUGUCGGCUGUUUACAUUUCAGCAAAAUGUUUGUCGUAACUUUCAAAUACUGGGGAACUGUAGACAGACAGUGUUUAUCAUGUUGCAGAGACUGUCAGGAACAGUUGGCCUCAACAUAACUGAGUCAAACCCAGUGUUUACAUUUUAAUCUACAAACUGUCAAGCCUGCUCACUACAGUGACCAAUUACAGCAUGAUAAGAUGAAUAGCACGCAGUUUUUAUAUAGAUUGCUCUGAAUUAGUCUUUCAAAGCCAUAUUUUAUAGUGGUGUUUCCUAAAAGAUGGGAAGAAGCCCAGCAGCAGUGUAGUGUUGCUGUCUUCAGAGUACAGUGUGGGCUUCACAUGUACAGUCCUUUGUGUUCACAGACUUUCCUAUCAUCUCCAAGUUCAUCGGAAAAAGCUGCUGCCAGGUAGAUAGAAAGAACUGGAGAAAGGAGGAUUCUCACUGUGUGAACACAGGCGUCAUGUUGAGUACUAGAGCUUUUUAAAGCUACUGGUCAGUUUCGGUUGUUCAGUUACUGAGUAGGAAUAAGGGAACUGUGUGAAUACAUUUAAUAUUUUUAUAUAUCUGCAAAUUUUACAUGUAUAAAAAUGACCAAUUUUACUGGUAUGUUUCCUCCCUGAGUAUUUACAUCAUUUCCUUUUUCAAAAUACCCAGUCCUCUGAGCUAACCCCUACUUGUCCUUCAAAAUAACGUCAGUAAUCUCUACCAAAAAGCAGCUUUCCCAGCUCCUCCUCAACUUAACUCGCCCAGCUCUAUCACAGCUGUAUUAUGAGUCAUUUACUACAUAUUAGUAAUUGCUGAUUAUCAUGUUUAUUUUUCCUACUAAAGUUUAAGUUCUUAAAAGGUAAAGACUACUUUUUUUAAACUUGUAUCACUGGUUAAAAUCAAAAACAGUGUUCUGCAUAUAAUAGGGUCAAAUAUUGAAUUGCUUAAUUUAGAACCUUAUUCUCCUCUUAGAUACUGCAAUUUUAAUAGGUCUUCUCUUGAUCUUUCCUUUUCUGUUCACUAAGGACCCCCAUCACAUAUUAUGCCUGCACCUUCCAUCAUUUCUUCAUGUCUUGGUUGAGGUGUUGUUUUUAUAGGCGCACCUCUCCCCUAUGUUCCACUGCCUGCUAUUUUCAGUUUUGUAUUCAAGAUGUCUUUCCUUCAGGAAGCUUGUGAUUGAUUCCAUCUUUAAUGUCAUAGGGUUGAAGAGUGAGCACUAUAAGCCCUAGAGUACUUACUGGAAAAAAAAUGAAUGACUGAUGAAGAAAGUGAUAAAUGAAAAGUCAUCAGGAACCUGAGACUCUGAAGGGACAAACUGUAUGUUGAAGGAAAGAAGGAAGUGGGUGAUGGGAAAAGUUAUCAGCAGAUGACAUGCCUAGGAAACUGGUGAUCCAGCCUUCUGUGUGGUGAGAAAGCAGUGCUGGCAGACUAGGCAUGUCAGCUGGCAGACUUGGAAACCCUUCAGCCAGCGUUUUCUGUGAAGUCAUUUGUGAACUCUUCAGCUUGCUGAUCUUGGACCCUCACAGAUAGGUGAGGAUGGCAGAACUCUCCCUCUUCCUCUGUCUUCCUGUCUGUCUUUGCUUCCAGGCUGCCAUUAGGUGAGCAGCUUUGCUCAACCAUGUGCUCCCCACGGUUGUCUGUCACUCCACAAGCCCAGAGCGCUCUGGCAGACAACUGGAACUGUGCUCCACCAUAAGCUGUUCUCCAUUGAGUUGUUUACGUCGCAUAUGUUGUUACAGCUUUGAAAAUGAACUCUCAAUUCUGCUAAAAACUGUUAAUUGAAUUAUUUUCAGUUUAUGUGUAUAAAGUAAUGUGAACUGUACAUUAAUUUCAUGUUUACACUUGUUUCCUAUCUCUAAGAUAAUCCAUAAUGGAUAUAUAAUUAUUCUGAAUUAUUCAAAAUCUAAAAGAAAUCUGAGUUCUGUAAUUUUUCUGUCAUUUAGGCAUUUUAGAUAUGGGAUGCUCAAUCUGUCCAUAAUUAACAUAUGCUAAUGAUGAUUUCCAGAGACAACAACCAUGAGAGCAUGCUCUCAAGUUCCUGUGUUACAAACUCAGAAGCCAAGUAUAGGUUCUAAAGAUUCAUAAAAUUCUUUGUUUGGAAAAACCAUGGAAAGAAUAAGAUAAUCUUAAGUAUGACAUGCUGAAUAGAUCUACACCUUUGACAUUGAUCCUGGCACCUGAUGCUUUGUUUUCUUUUUCUUUGACCACUGCUUUUUUAAAAACAUGGAGUGUCUGAAAAUUAAAUAAAAUGCCUAAGAGCCAAGAAUUAUUUAUACUUCAGGGAAGUCAGACCAUCACCUAGUCAUUGAAACAGAUUGAAACAGAAAGCGUGUGUGUGUGUGUGUGUGUGUGUGUGUGUGUGUGUUACGUGCGUGAAGCCAAGUAUAGGUUCUAAAGAUUCAUAAAAUUCUUUGUUUGGAAAAACCAUGGAAAGAAUAAGAUAAUCUUAAGUAUGACAUGCUGAAUAGAUCUACACCUUUGACAUUGAUCCUGGCACCUGAUGCUUUGUUUUCUUUUUCUUUGACCACUGCUUUUUUAAAAACAUGGAGUGUCUGAAAAUUAAAUAAAAUGCCUAAGAGCCAAGAAUUAUUUAUACUUCAGGGAAGUCAGACCAUCACCUAGUCAUUGAAACAGAUUGAAACAGAGAGCGUGUGUGUGUGUGUGUGUGUGUGUGUGUGUGUGUGUUACGUGCGUGAAGCCAAGUAUAGGUUCUAAAGAUUCAUAAAAUUCUUUGUUUGGAAAAACCAUGGAAAGAAUAAGAUAAUCUUAAGUAUGACAUGCUGAAUAGAUCUACACCUUUGACAUUGAUCCUGGCACCUGAUGCUUUGUUUUCUUUUUCUUUGACCACUGCUUUUUUAAAAACAUGGAGUGUCUGAAAAUUAAAUAAAAUGCCUAAGAGCCAAGAAUUAUUUAUACUUCAGGGAAGUCAGACCAUCACCUAGUCAUUGAAACAGAUUGAAACAGAGAGCGUGUGUGUGUGUGUGUGUGUGUGUUACGUGCGUGCGUAUAUAUAUACACAUAUGUUAGUCAAUAAAAUCUUACAGUGACAUGGGUUGCACUUUUUACUUUAGGAGGUUUUUUUAUCUUCACAAAAAGCAUAAUAAUCUUUAUUAUAUAAUAAAUUACGGCCUGAUUAGCAAUCUAAAAACCACAUUCAAGGUAGAUCCUUAGUAAAGAGUUCAUUUUUCCCCAACAACUGUGAAUGUUUGUGUGUCAUUCCUUCCACAAAGCACUUUAAUCUAACUGACUUUCAGCAAGUGAAAACUACCAUAUUAUAAGCUGUCCAAUUAAUAAUGUCUUUGUUUCUGUCCUAGCUACUCUCUACCAUGCAUAGUUCAUAAACCAGGUCACAUGCCUUCCCCACGCAGUACCCUUCAGUGGGUCUUCACCUUAUUUAGGUAAAAGCUGAAAUACUACAAUGACCUAGAAAACAUGAACACAAUCCACCUGUAUCUCUUACUUCAUUGCUUAGCACUUCCUUCCUGCUCGCUGCACUGCAGCUGUUGGGCUAUGUACCCUUCUGUUAGCACUCUUUGCCAUUGGGUUCUUUACAUCAACCCUUCCCGCUACUAGACAGCUCUUCAUUCAGUAGCUGUGUGACUUCUUUCUUGAUCUACAGGUCUUCACUCAAAUAUGAUCUUAGGAGGGUUUCUCUCACUCAGUUUAAAGUAACUUUUUUUUUACAGCCUUCUAUAGCAAGUAGAAUAAAACUUGUAAAAAAAUAGAAAUUUCAAUAAAAUUAAAUGUAAGGUUCUAUGAGAGUUAUUGUCUAGUCAUUGACAUCAGAGAAGACGUUUAACUUAUAGUAAGGCUAAGGUUUCUCAGAUGUACAAAGUAAUAGAAAGAUUUUAAAGAAUGUUUCGAAACACUUUGCAGAAGCCAAAGAGAUGAGGAGUAUCUCAGUGAUUUAUAAUAUCUGGAACAUAGAUGGCAUUGGGGCAUGGCAAAUAUAAUGCUACAAAAAUCAUCAGAGGCUUAAUUAUGAGGAAUCAGACAAAGACAGGACUUGUAACACUGUAGCAGAUUGGGCUCACUAACCAUUUUUCAGUAAAUGUUUGUCCCAGUUACCCAAUCUCUUUCUGUGAUAAAUACCAUGACCAAAAAGCAACUUGAGGGUAUGAGUUUAUUCGGCUUAUACUUCCUGAUCACAGUCUAUAGUACAAUCUGAACAAUUCUAAUACCCGUUGAGAACCCAAGGUGAAUGGAGGAAAUCUUACCAGAUGAGGUAGAAACAAGUAAAGCCUCCUGAGAAGGGCAGAAUUGGUCUCCCCUCUGAUUAGGUUAUGCAGUGUCAAGUGGUCAGUCCUAGAAACAUAUAUGUAGGUAACACUGAACAGCCUCUGUAGGUUGUAUUUACAUGUUUGUUUCUUUAUGUUUAUCUAGCAACAAUUUUUAAAGAAGAGGAUAAUAUUAAUUUGGGGGUUGUCAAGGGAGGGACAAGAAGGGGGCAGAAAUGAUGUAAUUAUAUUUUAAUUAAAAAUUUUUAAAGAAAAAAAAUAAGUCCAGCGAAAUGGCCUAGUUGCUAACAGUGAUUCCCAUCAUAGUUGACAACCUGAGUUCAGUCCCUAGGGCCCACGUGGUAGAAGGGAAGAACCGACCACACAAAUUUGUCUUCUAACUACCAAAUGGCUCUGUCAGUAUUUCUUUUGUUCUAAUGAUUUGGGUUUACUAUCCUUAAAACAUGAAAAAAUGAUUUAGAACUUUUUAAUGACCCAAGAAAAUAAUCUCAAAUCAACUACUUCACAGGUAAUUUUUGGUUUAUAAGUAAAACAAGAAAAGCAUGUUUAGUAUGAUCUGUUUAAAAACAAGAAAGGUGACCAUUGCCUGAAGACAAAAUGGCCAAAGACAUGACCCAACACAGGGGAUGGAGAUAGAUGCCGAGAUGUGAUUGGCAAAUCUGUUGAUGUCUGAGAGGUCCAGUCAUUGCCUGGGUGACAGUACAGGAACUGAGAAGUACCCUGCAAUUCCCAGUGCAGUUUUAACACAUGAUCUGCCUGAUCUAAAGCUGCACAGGACAGUGGAACAGAGCUCUAUUAAGACAGUCAUUCCAAGCCAGGAAAGAAGUAAUGGUAUGUCCAUGGGUAUCUCCGAGCCUUUAGACUCUCAGAGACUUAGAAACUCAAGUGGAGGAAUCCCAUCCAGCACGCAUGGGAGUGGGGGGAAGUCUAAUGGGAAUUUACCAAAACAAACAUUUUAUGGUAAAAGCUAUGCAAAGCCAAGGAAGGACUGACACCUACUGGGGACGGAGCAGAAACUCAAUCUAAAAAGCAGCUUGUUUGAACUCCACUGCAUACUACAAAUGUGGUUUUACACCACUGAACAGAAGAUGCAAACCAUCUUCCCCAUCAGCACAGUUUACUACCUGAAAUAUCACAGAGAACAAAGACAUUCAAAAUCUACCUCAGUGAGGUAUAGUGAGUAAUGUAUAUUUUUGCCUAUUCCACUUUUAUUUAACUUUGUCUUUUAAGCAGAAAAAAAACAAAUCUUCCUCAUGGCAUGCUUUAGUUCUUAUUCUUAGAUGGAUCGUUGUACUUGUUUGUACAUCCAUUCUGUUUUGUGCAGUAUACUUACUAGCCCUGUUUGGUAGACCCCAUAUACCUUCCUUGGCAUCCCUACCUCACUCCCUCUCGUCUCCAUCCAACGUCUCUUUGUAUUUCUUAACUGUAACUUCCAUAGCUCUAAUAAUCUUUGAACUCUGUGAUUCCUAACAAUUCCAAAACUUCCCCUUCAUCUACUUUUUCCUCCUUGAUAUUUUUCUGUUAUCUAUUACUGAUCCUUAUUUUGCCAGUUUGCCUUUACAUUUCUUCUUUUUGUCUUGCUAUACACCAUACUUUGUUCCUUUACCCCCACACACACAGCUCAAACUUUUCAAAGUUAAAUAAAGAACUGUUUUAAGUGAAUUGUUAAUGAUAGCUGCAAAGUGUCCUUAUACUCUUGUAAGGGAUUGUGCCACACACCCAUACCCUGAAAGAACAUGUACUAUGUAUUUUGUUCUGAACUGUACCCCAAGUCCACUGGAGAGGGAGACAAUAACUCUACCCUACUACAACUUGGUCCCCCACUUAAACAUUGAAAUAUUUGAAAUGAAGCUGAUUUUUUAAAAAAUCAACUAACAAAAUUAAGUCAGAUAUGUAAGUUAUAAUGCAAAACUACAGAAACAAAAUAAAAUCAUGGAAGUGUGAUCCUUCUGAAGAAUAGCAAUUUCUUAAUAACAGAUUGAAAUGGAAGUGAAGUAAAUGAAAUCCCAGACAAAGAAUACAAACAAUGAGUAUAAAAUGUUCAACAAAUUUAGAGAAUUUAUAAACUCCUAAAUGGUUUCAAAGAGAACCUUUUUAACUAGCAGAGGGAAUAAAGGAAUUCCACAUGGUAGAAGAUUUCAGAAAAGAGAUAGAAACAUUUAUUUAUAAAAUGGGGCGUAAAUUUUAACUUUGCUAACUUUUUAUAUUCAGCUGUACAUAACUUGGCUAUUUAGGCCAUGCUUUGAGAUAAACAGCAAUUUUUUCCAUGAUGUCUUUCAGUUGUACAGGAAUAAUUUCAGUUGGGGAUCUCUUUUAAGAAAAAGUAGAUUUAAAACAGCCAGUAUUUCUCCAAUGUUCAAAUCAAUGGUGCUUUAUUUAAUAAAACUACUUGCAAGAGAUUGAUUUGUUCAUUUGGUGUCUUGUUACUUUGCUUUACAAUGGUAUAAACACUACACCAACACCUUCUCUAUAUUCUUGAACUGUUUUCAAUGAUAAAAUUACAUUUGACUUCAAACUAAAUUUGACUGACUGUAAAAAGAAAAAAAUAAAAUAAAAAAAGAUAAAAUACUGAAAAUAAAUGAGACUAGAAUUGUAGGAAUGAAAACCUCAUUGAGUGAAAUACAGAGCACAGAGGAGUCUCUUGAGUAGACAGAUCAAGUGGAAGCCAGAAUUCCAGGAAUAGAAGAUGAAUUAGAUCAUUCAUAAAUCAACAAAAUUAAAUAGUAAAUAAUUGUACAUUUAUAUUUCUCACAGUAUUAUUUAUAGUAGCUAAGAAUUAGCCUAGGUGUCUAUCAACAGAGAAUGAAUAUAUAAAAUGUGAUAAUAGGCACAAUGAAAAUUUAUUUCAGGCAGAAGAAUGAAAUAGUGAUACUUUUUAAAAAAUUGAUUCAACUAGAAAUUAUUAGUUAGAAAAUUAAUUCAGAGUCAGAAACAGACAUAUCAUGUUCUCUAUCAUUCAUGGAUCCUAAACAUUCUAUAGACAUGUAAAACUGUAUAUAUGACAUGCAAGGAGAAGUAAAAGAGUCUAGAGGAAUGAAUAGUUCUAAAAGGAGUGUGGUAUGGGUGAUACAGAAGAAAUGUAGAGUGUUUAGGACGGGACAGAGUUCAAGUUUCUUAUAUACUUGUAUGAAAAUGUCUUUAUGGGGGCUGGAGAGAUGGCUCAGUGGGUAAGAGCACUGACUGCUCUUCCAAAGGUCCUUAGUUCAAAUCCCAGCAACCACACAGUGGCUUACAACCACCCGUAAUGAGAUCUGAUGCCCUCUUCUGGUGCGUCUGAAGAUGGCUACAGUGCACUUACGUAUAAUAAUAAAAUAAAUCUUAAAAAAAAGAAAAGAAAAGAAGAUGUCUUUAUGAAAUGUACCAUGUAUGCUGAAAAUAUGCUAAUUAAAAAUAGUGCCUAAUGGAAAGUAUACAAGCAGUGUAAUGAUAUGAGCAAAUUACACAUUUUGUGCGUUCCUUUCUUUGAAAUUCUCCAAAAUGGAAAUACUAUACAUACAUUGUAUGUUUUAUUUUACCAUGCUUUCUUUCUAUCAUGGAAAGGUGGACAGUUAUCUCUCACCAUUCUCGUAGGUAGUGUGAACCUGGGAAGUGGGGCAUAAAAAUGAGGCAGACUAAAGUCUCAUCCAAAGGUGCUCUUUGUUCAGAGCAGCAGACACUUCAUACUCUGAAGGUUAAGAAGAAUUGCCUGAGUAAAGUGUAUAAUGACAAGGACAAGCCACAUACUGCAAAACAAAAUAAAACAAAACAUGUUUUACUUAGAGAUACAUAAACAAAUAACAAAAUCCAGCUGCUAUGAAAAAUAUGAAGUAAGCUCACUCCUAUCCACUAUACCUAGGAUACAUAAAGCAUAUUCCAAGAAUAUCUCAUGUUAUCAGGGAACAGAGAUUACAAAAUUCUUGUUUUGUUUACUUGGUGUUUUCUCACCAAAGUCUCAGAUCUUACCUCACACAGCUUCAUUCAUGGACCAUGUUCCAACAAUCACUAAAAAUAAAAUAACACCUAGAAAAGUGAAAACAAGAAAGUAUGCAGAAUGAGAAAAAUAAAAUUAUAGAUACUUUGAAAACUAAAUUUUUUAUUAAUUAGGUAUUUUCUUCAUUUACAUUUCCAAUGCUAUCCCAUAAGUCCCCCAUCCCCCCUCCCCCCCCCUACUUCCCUACCCACCCCACUCCCACUUCUUGGCCCUGGUGUUCCCCUGUACUGAGGCAUAUAAAGUUUGCAAGACCAAGGGGCCUCUCUUCCCAAUGAUGGCCGACUAGGCCAUCUUCUGAUUCAUAUGCAGCUAGAGACAUGAGCUCCGGGGGUACUGGUUAGUUCAUAUUGUUGUUCCACCUAUAGGGUUGCAGACCCCUUUAGCUCCUUGGUGAAAACUAAAAUUUAUAAAUAAAAAUCAUGUUAUUGAAACUCAAGUGACUAAAAUGUAGGCUGAAAGUGGGGAAUUGAAAAAUAUAGGAUAUAGUGUCAAUGAAGAUAUCCAAAACAAAAAAAAAAUUAUGAAAGUGUUUGGAGUAGAAGGCUCAGUUUCUAGAGACAUUAUUGAGUUUCACAGGAGAGAAUGCAGGAAAAAGUUGAGCCAGCCAUCCUUACUUGUAACACCUGACUAUAUUCUAGAACUGAAGGAAAAAAAGCAUUAUGUGAACAUUAUCAAACUACUAAAGAAGAAAUUAUUUAAGUUAUACUAGUGAUCCAGGGCAAAGUUCUUGUGAUCAAUACAGAUUAUCAAAAAGAGCAGAGGGUUCCAAAUGCAUAACUAUCAUCUAGAGUUUUAUGUUAGAUGAAAGCAGAAAUAAAUUUUGGAGAUUGAAAAAUAAAAAGCAAUUCAAACAUAUUCACUAAGAAGAAAAUUCACAGGGAUACAUAGACAUGUAAAAAAGUAAUUUUUAAAAUUGUGAGCUUAUAUAUGCACUCAAUCAUCUAUUGACUUAUUUUAAAACUACUUUUCCUUUGUAAGAUAACAGAGAAGAAUGAUGAAGUAUUUCAUCUACUGUAAAAUAGGAUAUGUAUUUUGGAGUGAAAAUGGGCCUUUAUGACAAAAGUAGAAAAUAAGUUAGCUGAGCUAUUUACUCUGUCUUUCAAAAUCACUAGUGAGGUGACAUUGUGAUACAAGAGAGAUUUUUUGUUAUGGCUGUUUCACAGCUUAUUCAUCCAUAAUGACGAAGCAGUCAAUGUCUCUGCCUGUACUGGUGGGAGCUGGCCCUUCAGCUAGUUGUAGCUUUGCAAUUAAGAAAGGGUUAGAACUAGAAACUGAAAGCACUUUUUUUUUCAAUUUUUUUAUUAGAUAUUUUCUUCAUUUACAUUUCAAAUGCUAUCCCAAAAGUCCCCUAUAACCUCCCCCUGCCCUGCUCCCCUACCCACUCACUCCCACUUCUUGGCCCUGGCGUUCCCCUGUACUGGGGCAUAUAAAGUUUGUAAGACCAAGGGGCCUCUCUUCCCAAUGAUGGCCAACUAGGCCAUCUUUUGAUACACAUGCAGCUAGAGUCCAGAGCUCCAGGGUACUGGUUAGUUCAUAUUGUUGUUCCACCUAUAGGGUUGCAGAUCCCUUUAGCUCUUUGGGUACUUUCUCUAGCUCCUCCAUUGGAGGCCCUGUGUUCCAUCCAGUAGCUGACUGUGAGCAUCCACUUCUGUAUUUGCCAGGCACUAGCAUAGCCUCACAGGAGACAGCUAUAUCAGGGUCCUUUCAGCAAAAUCUUGCUGGCAUGUGCAUUAGUGUCUGAGUUUGGUGGCUGAUUAUGGGAUGGAUCCCCGGGUUGGGGUAGUCUCUGGAUGGUCCAUCCUUUCGUCUUAGCUCCAAACUUUGUCUCUGUAACUCCUUCCAUGGGUAUUUUAUUCCCUAUUCUAAGGAGGAGUGAAGUAUCCACAUGUUGGGAACCAUCCCCAGUGACCUGCUGAGACAUAGCCCCACAAGUUUUACAAACUCCCAGAACCUGGUCCCUGAGGUUUUAGUCUUUUUAUAUAACAACAGAGCAUUUUGUAGUAUGUUACUAUCUCUUCUCUUGAAAAAUUGUUAAAAUUUAUUAGUUUGUUGAUAGGUACAAUUUAAAUAAUUGAUGUACUGGAUUAAAAAAAAGUUGUUUAAAAUGAAUUGUUACUGUUCAGAAGGAGUUUCAAACCGUACUUUGAGAGUCAUAGUCUAGUAGUAACCAUCACUUCAGUCUUCUAGAGGUUAAUAAUUUAUGGUGUGUUUGAGUAAACCACAGUAGCAGAGAUUAAGUGACUUCACCCACGUCACAUGAACAAAGGAAAGGAGUUUUGAUGGGUGAAACUCCACACAGGCAUGAACAUCUGUUUCUCUGUCCCUAGCACCUAACAUCAAAACAUGGCAGUUACUGUAUAUUCCAGGUGUAGAGCGUAUAUGUAUUUUCUCUAUUAUGAAGGCUCUCUGUUUACUCACAUUCACGUUGUGCAGAAGCUUUUUCUCUUCAUACAUUCCCAUUUUUCAAGUCCUGCUAUUAUUUCUCAAGACAUUAAAGUCUUAAAAAACAAAAACAGAGACAACAAACAGUCUUUGAUCAUACAUGCCUUGCUUUUCCCUAACAGUUUCAGAGUUUGGCUUUAAGCCCUCUUUCACCUAUACUAACAUACUUGAGUCAUCAAAACAGUUCAGGGUGGGUUAAAGGGAAUAAUUUCUGCAUGACCCUGUGCUUUUUUUUCUGAGUAUCAUUCAGAAAUAUUUAAGCUUUGAAAGUUAGCAGAUGCCCCAGAAAUGACCAUGUCCUUCUCAGAGUGUCCAUUCUUGUUAAAUACAUUUCUGUCUGCCUUUCUCUGCUCUAUUGAAUAACGAAACAGUCAUCAUAUUGCAGAUGACCUCACCUUGUCCAUAGGUUAUAACAGCUUGCCUGCUUGCUUGGUUUUUUGUUUUUUGGGUUUGUUGUUGUUGUUGUUGUUGUUUUUAAAAUAAGGCAAUAGAAGAAUGAUGGAGAUUUCAAAAGCCAAAUUGUUAGAUUGAAAUUUUCUAUACAAGCCCACGUAUCUCAAAUACAUUAUUAAAAUGAAUUCAUGAGGACAUGAGUGAAGUUAGACUUACUUCUGUAAGUCAAACAUAGAUUUCUAUGACAGCUAGAUGAAAUGCAGCCAUGGGCUGCUGUUAGGAAGAAGUAGAGUUGUUCCUGGGUACUUGGGAAGACUGAACAUAAUGUAGAUGUCAGAGAAGAAGGCAAGGCCCUUCCAGGACAUAAUGCUGAAGCAGACACUGAUACAGUGAAGUUGGUGGAGUCUUAGAUAAAGUAGAAGUGCUUAUUAGAGACCUACACUUCAGUACAGUUUUAAGAUGUCAGAAAGAUCUCGUAUAUCUUUAAGGAUCAUUUACAAUCCACGAUCAUUUUCUAGUUAGAAUGACACAAACUUAUAAUCAAGGAAUUUGGGGGGAAGGUUGACCAGGAGUUCUAGGUUUAUGUCAGCUCUAAGCUGCAUAGAGAUUUCAAGACAACCCUUUCUGGAUGGAUGGGCGGAUGGAUGGAUGGAUGGAUGGAUGGAUGGAUGGAUGGAUGGAUGGAUGGAUGGAGUGGGUGGUUAGGUGGAUAGAUAAGGGAAGAUUGGUUGUAUAAGAAAUUAAAACUUUUAACUUUUUGAAAAAGAAGAUGUUAAAAACAUUUAUGAAGAUUAAUUUACUUAAUCCUCUUAGUGAUCACUUCACAUGGAAAUUAACUUUAUUAUAUGAGAACACAGAAAAAUAAAGAGAAGUAACCAGUUUGAUGUUUUAUGAGACAAAUAAAGCUAGUGAACAAGACCCAGUUCUUACCCACAAGGUGAUCAAAAUCCAGAGGACAUAAUUAGUCUAUGUCCCUGCUAAUGUGGAAAGACUUACUUUGCAAUCUGCAAUGUCACAAAGUUGCCCCAACUAAAUGUUCUUUGUGCCUCAUUCUCUUCUCUUCUCCCAUGCAGUACAUGAUUUCUGCUAGCAUUCUCAGAUCCCCACCUCUUUAUCCUUGCUAGAAUGACAUUGUGUGCCCCCAGUAUCAGCAGAGACACUGUUGCUUUUUAGCAUCUUUACAUUUGUGUAAAUUUACAUUAGCUUAUUUGUGGCUUUAUUCAUUUGUGUUUUGGAUAUAUGAACUCAUAUAAUAAUUAAAAUAAAAUUAUUUCCAACUCAGAUUUAGAAGACCUUUAAAGUAUAACUUGUCCAUCAAAUUUAUCUUUCAAAUGAACUUACAGUGGGAAAGAGAUUUAUAUUUGCAUAUCACAAAGAAUGAUCUAUCAUGGUCCUUCUCCAGACUUAAUGACACCUAUGGAGUUUAUUUGCCUUAAAUGAGCAGAUGUUUAAACAUUUUAAUCCCCUUAUAAAGCUUUAUUCUCAAUCAACACAAAUAGCGGCAAACCUCAGCUCUAAUGUAAGAAUUCAGUGGGGCAAUAUUAACUCUUAUGCAAACAUUUGCUUGUGUUCUCUUAGCAAAAUCAAGAAGAAAGAACACAUUUUAGAACAACCCAUCUCACUGUUCUUCACAUAGGAGCAAACUAUUGUUUGGAACAUUAAUGGGCAACAGGCUCAGCAUUUAUCCACUUUGCCUCCAUGAGCAAAGCAUAGGCUCUGCUGGGUACCUGGAAGUCCUCCAAAACCUCAAUCUGCCACUUAACUUGCAUUUUUGUAUCAAAUAGUUUCCUAAGUAACAUUUUGGGGUGAUUUUUCCUUCUCAGUUUCUCCCAUAUACCAUUUCUAAUGCAAAAGAAGAAGCCUAAACCAGAAAGCAGGUUUCAGAUAAUCCCUGUAAGAAAACAUUUCUGACAUUGCUUAUCACUAUUUCCUUUCCUUUCCUCUAGACUAAAUUAAGCAGACCCUGUGCUUGCUAGCAGGAUCAUUUCUAAUCUGGUUGUGCUUCAUUUCCUUCUGUCCCAUCACAGAGCUUUUAACACAGCUGCUUCCCCUGCCCAAAGAAAAGUUAAAAAAAAAAAAAAACUCAUGCAUAAAUAACAUCAGACAGUAUCUUGCUGAAGUAUUAGAACCCACAAAAAUGUGCUCAGAUUCCCUGACCUCCAGGCAAAAGAAGAAACAGAGAUUGUUUUGCAGAACUGUUUCAGGACAGUUGAGGAUGGAAUUGUAUAGAGCCCAUCUUGACCCAUCUGGGGUCUCUUCAAAUUCAGGUACCACGUUCCUUCUCACCCACCAAAGGCUUACUUCUUUCUGGUUAUGUGCACAUUUUGUCCCCAUUUCCUGACAGUCUCAAGAACUACACCAUCAGUUGAAAAAAAUUAUUCAUAUUUCAGUUCCUUCAAAUCUAGUUCUUUCAUUUCCUUUUUUACUUACUUGUGACGAUCUAACACACAACUAACAUUCUUUUAUUCUCUGGGUCUGAAUUGUUUCAAGAUUUUUUUUUAAUGCAAGGAGAUUCUAAUAUAAGAGAGUUCAGGAACCCUCCUCAAAAAUUACCUAAUCAUCAAAAGAUUAUGUAGAUACAAUGUGGUACUCCAGAGUCUAUCCUGGGAAAGAAAAAAAAAAUCUGUCAGUAGAAAAGCUAGGAAAAUUCAAAGGCCCUAGUGAAUAGUUGAGUAUAAAACCCAAGUGUUUUCUGAGUUUUGAUGAAGGUAUCUAAGCAGCUUACAUGAAGUGAAGCUAGAUGAAGACUGUGGAAACUCCCUCUUAUCCUUGUAGCUUUUCUGUAAAUGUGAAAUAUUACAAGAUAUUUUUAAGGUUUUAAUGAUACUAAAGCCAAGGGUUUAUAGAUUUGGAAUACUUAGUAACAAAUGUGCAGAAAGUCAAACAUACACUUGAUUUCCCUAUAAUGUUCUUGCUAUAAAUCCAUCACACACUCAGAAGUCACAUAAACCUAGAUAUGCCUGCCUUUUGUGUGUAAAUUGUGAGCAGUUAAUUGAUUUCUCUGAAAAUAGUUUUCUUGGGUGUGUGACUGGGAUAUUAUCCAUCACUGCCUUCGGAGACUAUCCUGAGGAGCUACCACAUGGCCUGCCACAUGUGAACAAUCAACAUCAUCUUCGCAGCAGCCACCCAGAGUGCUACUUUGAGAAAAGUAAAAUUUGGAUACAUGUUUUUGCUCUAUCUUUGUUUUCACUCCUGAAAAUUAUUCUCUUCCAUUCCAGGAUUGUCUAGGUCUUGACUUUUACUAAAAAUAAGAUGGGGGGGGGGGG